rnacentral:rRNA from 1 species
AACGAACGCUGGCGGCAGGCCUAACACAUGCAAGUCGAGCGAGAUCUUCGGGUCUAGCGGCGGACGGGUGAGUAACGCGUGGGAAUAUGCCCUUCUCUUCGGAAUAGCCUCGGGAAACUGAGCGUAAUACCGCAUACGCCCUUUGGGGGAAAGAUUUAUCGGAGAAGGAUUAGCCCGCGUUGGAUUAGGUAGUUGGUGGGGUAACGGCCUACCAAGCCGACGAUCCAUAGCUGGUUUGAGAGGAUGAUCAGCCACACUGGGACUGAGACACGGCCCAGACUCCUACGGGAGGCAGCAGUGGGGAAUCUUAGACAAUGGGGGCAACCCUGAUCUAGCCAUGCCGCGUGAGUGAUGAAGGCCUUAGGGUUGUAAAGCUCUUUCAGCUGGGAAGAUAAUGACGGUACCAGCAGAAGAAGCCCCGGCUAACUCCGUG